GGCGGAUGUAGCCAAGUGUAUCAAGGCAGU
rnacentral:tRNA from 1 species